GGGCCUGUAGCUCAAUUGGGAGAGCGCUGCGUUCGCAACGCAGAGGUCGGGAGUUCGACCCUCCUCAGGUCCA
rnacentral:tRNA from 1 species